rnacentral:rRNA from 1 species
GGAGGAAGCUUGCUUUCUCCUGCCGGCGACCGGCGCACGGGUGAGUAACACGUAUGCAACCUGGCCGUCACAGGUGGAUAACCGGAAGAAAUUCCGACUAAUACAGCAUAACACUCCUGAGGGACAUCCUUUGGGAGUCAAAGGAGGCGACUCCGGUGACGGAUGGGCAUGCGGCGCAUUAGGUAGUUGGUAGGGUAACGGCCUACCAAGCCGACGAUGCGUAGGGGUUCUGAGAGGAAGGUCCCCCACAUUGGAACUGAGACACGGUCCAAACUCCUACGGGAGGCAGCAGUGAGGAAUAUUGGUCAAUGGCCGGAAGGCUGAACCAGCCAAGUCGCGUGAGGGAAUAAGGCCCUAUGGGUCGUAAACCUCUUUUGUCAGGGAGCAAAGGCGUCCACGAGUGGACGAAAGGAGAGUACCUGAAGAAAAAGCAUCGGCUAACUCCAUGCCAGCAGCCGCGGUAAUACGGAGGAUGCGAGCGUUAUCCGGAUUUAUUGGGUUUAAAGGGUGCGUAGGCGGAGUGUCAAGUCAGCGGUAAAAUUUCGGGGCUCAACCCCGUCGUGCCGUUGAAACUGACACCCUUGAGUGAGUGAGAAGUAAGCGGAAUGCGUGGUGUAGCGGUGAAAU